CUGCCUCCAUUUCCCCAUCUGUCCCGCACCGGGGCUCAGUCAUGCUCUGCAGCACGUUAGAGCCACCACUUCGGGUGGGAUGUAACGGGUGGAAAGGAAAAAGUGCUCCAGGCACAGAGCCACGUGCAGAGGGUGGCUGGGCUGGCCCGCGAGGAGGGCCCAGGCAGCCACGUGGUCGAGGAGGUGUGGGGAAAGCGGGGCGUGGGGCCUUGACGUGGGCGGCUGCAGGGCCAAGGUGGCCCUCUGAAGGCGUGUCUCAUAAGGAGCCGCCCGGCAGGCCUGACUGGAAAGGGGAGCGCCUGCGGCCCAGAGACCUGGCAGGAGGCCGUGCAGCGGCCGCGGGCUUGCAGUGGGGACGGGGAAGCACAUCAGGAGGACAGCGGGCAGGCUCGAGCUGCCCGUCUGCCUCUCCAGCUGCCGCGGGUCUGGCGCAGCUUUGCCUGGCCCGCCUGCCGCCUCUCUCCUUCCUGCGGCACGAGCACUGACGCGCCCUUCGAGACCUGGCUCGGGACGGCUCUGGAAGCCACUUCGCUGCCCUCGGGCAGAGUCAGUCACGGGGCCCUCGGCCUGCCUCUCUCACGCUCACACCCUCUCCUCCGAGGUCGUCUCCCGGUGCAGAGCCUGGCACACAGGAGGCGCUAGGCUGGGGUCUCACGAACGCACGGCAGGCACGAGGGCAGAGAUGUUCUGUCAUCAGGCUCUCACCUUUGUGAAGUGACCCCUGAGCAGGCCACCCUCCCCUCCUGCCCUCCCGAGGUCUCUGCCUGGGGAACCUUCCUUUGCACACUCGGGAACUCAACCUUGGGUUCCUUCAGCCCAUAGGUGUGCUGAGGUCCUGUGUGUGUCAGGUACUGUGCUAGGAGCUGACGGGCAGUAGUGAGCAGAAACCAUUUGGUCCCUGCACUCAAGGAGCUGCUGAUGCUGUGUGUGUGUGUGUGUGUGUGUGUGUGUGCAUGUGCGUGUGUGGCACUUUUUGGAUUGGGUGGUCAGCAAAGCCCUCCUGUGGAAGGUGACACUUCAGCUGGAACUGGGGUGAGAAGACACUCACGCCGUCCUAAGUCUUGGGGAAAGCAUGGAAGGCCGAGGGGGCAGCCGGGGCAAAGCCAGGCCGGGCCUGCUUAGAUGAGCCAACCCAAGCGGUCACCUUUCUGAGCUCCCGCCCUGCGAUCGUGGCCUCUCAGACUCAGCCCACCAGCCCCAGGAGCGCCCAGAACAUCCUCUCAGCGCUCUGGCCGCGGGCCUGCCCCGUGUACCUCCAGUGACUAGAGAUGCAGCCUUUCGCCGGGACUGCCUUGCCUGUCUCGUGCUGUAGAACUAGACGGCUCAGCUGCACCCAGCAGCUCCUCUGGGGUUCCAGGGAGACCCUUGGGGUGGGGGGAGGCCGGUGAGAGCAUUCUCAAGCCCCCUGCCACCCGCCCUUGGGCUGGCUGUGACCCAUGCUGCCCCCAGGGCCCCUGAACUACUGCUCUCUGAGCUGCAAGGAGGUUGCAGUCGGAGCUUUUUGGAGAGCAGAGGGUGGAGGAAAGAAGGUACUUCCUCCCCUGCUGCCCCAAGAAUGCCUGACGUGGGGCAGAAGGGUCACUGGGGGCGAGCAGUGUUAAUUUAGUAGUGUUCGUUUUCACCUUUGUUGUUUUUCCACCUAUAAAAAAUUAUAUAAGCAGGGGCUGGGGAGGAGGGAAUGGGAGUUGUGUUCAGCGGAUUCAGACUUUCUGUCCGGGAGGAUGAAAAAGUUCUGGAGGUGGAUGGUGGCAGUGGUUGCACAAGACUGUGGAACUGCACACUUCAAAACGGUUAGAACUCUGCCCUCAGAAUUGUUAAGAUGGUAAAAAAAAAAAAAGUUAAAAUGGUAAAUUUUAUGUUAUGUAUAUUUUACCGCAAUAUUUUGAAAAAGUAAUACCUGCUCCCAGCUGACUGCUCUAUCCUCAGGGCCGAGCACAGAGUAGGCGUGCAAAAGGUAACCGUCGAAUGCAAGGAUGUGAGCAGAAAAUGCAGACCCACCUGGGCUCCGCCGGCCUGAGGCUCCCAACCUUCGGGAAGAGAAGCGGGAGGAGCCGGCCGGGCUUCCCCAGCGGAUGCUGAGGCAGAGACUCACCUGGGCCUUCUCUUGCCAGAGAGGGAGCGUCCCUUGCUGGUCCAGCAGCCGGGCAAUGAUCACGAGGCUGAGCUGGCGUCGAAGCUGCCUGUGAGAGAAGGGGCGAGAGAGACUGAGCGGGUGUACCACCCUGGGGGGGGGAUUGAAGUCCCCAGGGUGGGUGCAAGGAGGGGCAGGACACACACCGAGACGUGAACAGGGGAGAGCCACGUAGGGAACUUUGGCUUUCUCCUUUGGUUUAUAAUUUAUUUUAGAAGUAAUAAAACAUGCAAGCUGGGAAAGUUUAAAAAUAAGCAAAAAGAAAAAAGUUAUUUUGUAAAAGAAGCGGUAACUUCAGAGGCUCGCAUAGUGGUAUUUACCGGCUUAGUGUUUUCCUCUAUGUAUUUGUGCUACACAGAGAUCGGGACCGUUCAGCCUCCUUCGCACAGACCGUCGCCUUUCCUUUCCCUUGCAGCAUCAUGAGCUUUCAGCCCAUGCAGGGUGGUGGAAGGGGGGUGACCGGGGCUUGGUGAGGUCAGGUUUUGUUCUUGUGUUUCUCAGCCAGCAUCCAGUGACUUUCUUUUGGAGAAACCCUCACCCACCACACCCGGCCCAAAUCCCAGCUCCCAGGGUGGGCACGUGAGCCAGGCCUGGCCCAUCAGUCCCUGUGUUUGAGCCACUGAGAGGUGGCCUCGGGGUCUUGGCUGGAGCUACCAGUAGAGCGUGUGCCUUUCCAGCAGGACCACUGAUCAGGUGGGAGGUGACCCCGCUGUCGCUGGUGGCCAUCCUGCCUCUUUGUGGGGCAGUCUGGAGAAUGCAACAAGCAGAGAUAGAGCCCUGACAACACCCAGAGCCUGCCCUGCCUGAAGCCUCCGGCCCCCGGACCCGUGCGGUCAGUGGGUUGGUUGGCUCAGCUGAUGAAGUCCCUUUGGCUUCUUCAGUCAGUCUGAGCUGGGCUCCUAAGUCUAGCGCCAAACAGUCCUAACUGAUUCACUCAGGAUGGAGCUGGUGUCUCCACUCUUCAGGAGUAAAGACCUCUAAUGGGGAUUUUAGACGCUAACGUUUGUGGCUCUGAUUUUCAUGGGUCCUUGAGGGCUGGAGCGAGUAAAAAGAAGAGAGGAGGGAAGUAGAGACUAGAGGACAGGGCUAGGGGUGGCAGUGGCCAGGAGAGGCUGGAGAGGGGCGAUGGGAGAAGGGGUGGAGGGUUACAUCCUCCUCGAGGCUUCACACACUUGUUGCCCCCAUGGACAGCAGAAGGCAGCCCCUGGCACGGACUCUGAUGUGGCCCACAGUCGCUGAUUCCCGCGGAAAGCCACCACCAGGGGAAGCAAAGGAGAGGUUCUGAAGCCGGCGGAAACUGAAGGAACACGAAGGACACCAGGUGGGCUGGAAGCGGCUCCGUAGAGGAGAAAUGCUCUCUGGUAACAACACUGCUGGAGGGUCCCCAUGGGCGCCCCUACCCCCAUCCUUGGGACGACCCCACGGGGAAACGAAGGACAGGACAUCGGGGACAGGCAGCCCUCGGAAAUGAUGUUUCCCUAAGGAAGUACCUGGGGGAAGCAGGACUGAGCCCCGCCUGAGCGGUGCUGAAGGCGCCCCUGCAACUUCCCCAGGGCCUGUGGCUGCCAUGGCCUCACGUGGGUGCAGGAGGGGCUCCCAGUUGGUGGGGAACGGAGGUGGGAAUGGCCUUCUCCAAGCCAGGAGGGUAGGUGGUACCUGAAGCAGGGGCCUUGUUGAUCUUAUUCAAGAAAAUCAGAGAAAUCAACAAGGCAAGAGGCUCUUGAUUAAAAAAAAAAAGGGAAAAACGCAGCAUCAGACAGCAGCAUCACAUACUAGAAGGGUAAACACGAGAAAGAGGGGAGACGCUCCCACACAGCCGGCAGGGACACGGAUGCAUACACCUACCUCGGCCAACUGCCUGGCGAGACCUACUAAAGAUAAAGAUGUUCGUGUGCCCGCCCCACGGCCCGGCAGUCCUAAUCCCGGGCACACACGUACGGUGUACGAGAAAAGAGAGGGGCACGAGCAGCACCAAUCCGCCACUAGAAUGGAGAGAGGGACUGGGCUCCACUCACGCAUCUCAAGCCCACGCGGAACGAUUACGGAUGAGCCACGACUCCAUCCGGCAGCACGGGGGAGCCUCACAGGGCUGUGUGAGAGAAGCCAGUUCCAACAGAACACACGUGUAUGAUUUCACUUACACUAAGUACAGAAACGGGGAUACGUGGCAGGGGUGGGGUGGCGGGCAGGCUCUGCUCACGUCUCAUUUCUUCUUCUUCUUUUUCUUUUCAUUCGGCCGCACCAUGUGGCUCGUGGGAACCUUAGUUCCCCAACCAGGGACUGAACCUGGGCCCUGGCAGUGGAAGCGCCGCGUCCUAACCACUGGGCCGCCAGGGAAUUCCCUCAUUUCUUGAUCUGGGUGCUGGUUUUACAUGUGUUCGACUUGUGGAAACCCACUGAGCACACACUUACGGUCUGUGUUCUGUUUGUAUGUUGCAGUCCAAUAAAACUAUUACUUAAAGAAGAAGUUCAGCUGGGGGGUGGUAAGGACUGCCUGACUUAGCCAAUAAAAAUACAGGAUGCCAGUUAAAUUUGAACUUCCUAUAGAUAAAGAACAAUUUUUUUUA